rnacentral:rRNA from 1 species
GGUUAAGCUACUAAGAGCACACGGUGGAUGCCUAGGCGCUAGGAGCCGAUGAAGGACGUGGCGAACAACGAUAAAGCCUCGGGGAGCUGUAAGCAAGCUGUGAUCCGGGGAUGUCCGAAUGGGGAAACCUAACUGGAUUCAUCUCCAGUUACUCACACCUGAAUACAUAGGGUGUGCAGAGGCAGACGAGGGGAACUGAAACAUCUAAGUACCCUCAGGAACAGAAAACAAGAGUGAUUCCGUCAGUAGCGGCGAGCGAACGCGGAACAGCCCAAACCAAUGAGCUUGCUUGUUGGGGUUGUGGGACGUCUCUUUGGAGUUACAAAGGAAGAUGGUAGGCGAAGAGGUCUGGAAAGGCCCGCAAGACAAGGUGAAAGCCCUGUAGCUAAAAUCAUCUUCUCUCCGAGACGGAUCCCGAGUAGUGCGGGGCACGUGAAACCCCGUAUGAAUCUGCCAGGACCAUCUGGUAAGGCUAAAUACUCCCUAGCGACCGAUAGUGAAGCAGUACCGUGAGGGAAAGGUGAAAAGGACCCCGGAAGGGGAGUGAAAUAGAACCUGAAACCGUGUGCUUACAAAAAGUCAGAGCCCUAUUACUGGGUGAUGGCGUGCCUUUUGUAGAAUGAACCGGCGAGUUACGUUCCCGUGCAAGGUUAAGGUGAAAAGCCGGAGCCGCAGCGAAAGCGAGUCUGAAUAGGGCGACUGAGUACGUGGACGUAGACCCGAAACCAGGUGAUCUACCCCUGUCCAGGGUGAAGGUACGGUAACACGUACUGGAGGCCCGAACCCACGCACGUUGAAAAGUGCGGGGAUGAGGUGGGGGUAGCGGAGAAAUUCCAAUCGAACCUGGAGAUAGCUGGUUCUCCCCGAAAUAGCUUUAGGGCUAGCCUCGGAAGUUGAGUCGUGGAGGUAGAGCACUGAUUGGAUGCGGGGCCCGCAAGGGUUACCAAGUUCAGUCAAACUCCGAAUGCCACAGACUUUAUUCCGGGAGUCAGACAGUGAGUGCUAAGAUCCAUUGUCGAAAGGGAAACAGCCCAGACCAUCAGCUAAGGUCCCCAAGUGUGUGUUAAGUGGGAAAGGAUGUGAAGUUGCACAGACAACCAGGAUGUUGGCUUAGAAGCAGCCACCAUUGAAAGAGUGCGUAAUAGCUCACUGGUCGAGUGACUUUGCGCCGAAAAUGUAACGGGGCUAAACACACCACCGAAGCUAUGGCUUGAUACUUUGUAUCAGGGGUAGGGGAGCGUUGAAUGAAGAUUGAAGGUGUACCGCAAGGAGCGCUGGACCUCAUUCAAGUGAGAAUGCCGGUAUGAGUAACGAAAAGAUCAGUGAGAAUCUGAUCCGCCGAAAACCCAAGGAUUCCUGAGGAAGGCUCGUCCUCUCAGGGUAAGUCGGGACCUAAGGCGAGGCCGAAAGGCGUAGUCGACGGACAACAGGUUGAAAUUCCUGUACCACCGAAAGCCGUUAUGAGCAAUGGGAUGACGCAGGAGGAUAGUGACGCGGACUGAUGGAUGUCCGUUCAAGCAGUGAGGCUGGUAUGUAGGCAAAUCCGCAUACCCCAAGGCCAGGCUGUGAUGAGGAGCGAAAAUUACAGUAGCGAAGGUCAUGAUUUCACACUGCCAAGAAAAGUCUCUAGCCAGGAAGCAGGUGCCCGUACCGCAAACCGACACAGGUGGGUGAGAAGAGAAUUCUAAGGCGCGCGGAAGAACUCUCGUUAAGGAACUCGGCAAAAUGACCCCGUAACUUCGGGAGAAGGGGUGCCCCGGUAGUGUGAAUAGCACGAGGGGGCCGCAGUGAAAAGGCCCAAGCGACUGUUUAGCAAAAACACAGGUCUGUGCGAAGCCGCAAGGCGAAGUAUACGGGCUGACGCCUGCCCGGUGCUGGAAGGUUAAGGGGAGUGGUUAGCGCAAGCGAAGCUAUGAACCGAAGCCCCAGUAAACGGCGGCCGUAACUAUAACGGUCCUAAGGUAGCGAAAUUCCUUGUCAGGUAAAUUCUGACCCGCACGAAUGGCGUAACGAUUUGGGCGCUGUCUCAACGAGAGAUCCGGUGAAAUUUUAAUACCUGUGAAGAUGCAGGUUACCCGCGACAAGACGGAAAGACCCCAUGGAGCUUUACUGCAACUUGAUAUUGAACUGGGGUGCGAUUUGUACAGGAUAGGUGGGAGCCGUAGACAUCGGAGCGCAAGCUUCGGUUGAGGCGCCGUUGGGAUACCACCCUGAUCGCAUUUGAGUUCUAACCUCGUACCGUGAUCCGGUACAGGGACCGUGUCAGGUGGGCAGUUUGACUGGGGCGGUCGCCUCCUAAAGUGUAACGGAGGCGCCCUAAGGUUCCCUCAGAAUGGUUGGAAAUCAUUCGAAGAGUGUAAAGGCAUAAGGGAGCUUGACUGCGAGACAGACACGUCGAGCAGGGACGAAAGUCGGGCUUAGUGAUCCGGUGGUACCGCAUGGAAGGGCCAUCGCUCAACGGAUAAAAGCUACCCUGGGGAUAACAGGCUUAUCUCCCCCAAGAGUCCACAUCGACGGGGAGGUUUGGCACCUCGAUGUCGGCUCAUCGCAUCCUGGGGCUGAAGUAGGUCCCAAGGGUUGGGCUGUUCGCCCAUUAAAGCGGUACGCGAGCUGGGUUCAGAACGUCGUGAGACAGUUCGGUCCCUAUCUGUCGUGGGCGUAGGAAAUUUGAGAGGAGCUGUCCUUAGUACGAGAGGACCGGGAUGGACGCACCGCUGGUGUACCAGUUGUUCCGCCAGGAGCAUCGCUGGGUAGCUACGUGCGGAAGGGAUAAGCGCUGAAAGCAUCUAAGCGUGAAGCCCCCCUCAAGAUGAGAUUUCCCAGUAUGUAAGACCCCUUGUAGACGACGAGGUUGAUAGGUUGGGGGUGGAAGUGCCGCAAGGCAUGGAGCUGACCAAUACUAAUCGGUCGAGGGCUUAUCCAA